GGUAGAGAGGGAGAUGGAGAGAGAAAGAACGAGAAGGGAAGGCAUCCUAAAGACCAUGGAAUGAUGAUGGCUUUAAAAUUUAUGGCAGGCCAUGAAGAACAUAGAGAGUUAGAGAGCAAAAGGGGGAGUGAGAGAGAUUUGCAGUGAGAUGUGGAAAGAUGGAGAGAGAGAAAGAGAUGGCAAUGAGAUGUAGAAAAAUGGAAAGAAUAAGAGAGAGGCAGACAGGCAAAUACAGACAGAGGGAAUGAAGAACACAAUCACAAAUAUUUAAGAAAAAUAAACUCGGGGCAAUUUCAAUAACCCUAAUGUAUGUCCCAUAGAAAUCAUGUUCGGAUUACGUAUUUGUCAUGGUCAUGUUUGAACAUUUUAAAAAGAUGAUGCACAAGGCUAUUGAAAUCGUUUUAAGAUGAUUUUUUAAGAAGCAGUCACUAUCAUGGUGAAGCUAGAAAUUCAGACGGGGAGAGAGAAAGAGAUACAUGUAUAAACAAAGUGAGAUAAGAAUAUACACAAACUGUCAGGUUGAAGUGAACAUCAAAGACACACCAGACAGUUGUGUAUUUUCCAUGUCAUCUGAAGAUGUCUUGAAUGUAUGAAAUGCUUGCAAGUUACUAAUGUUCUGUUACUUUUUUUAAUGGUUUUGUUCAUUUGACAUCGAUAGGGAUAUGUGAGAUUUUUUGAGAACUUUCUACUGGUAAGUGUGGUCUUUUGUCAUUGGGAUAUGUAUAUUUGUCUCAAUCAUAGAGAAGUAGGAAUAAACUUUGAGAGGUACAAUUAUACAACAGAACUCUGACUGAUGUUUGACAGUCUGCUAUUUAUACCUGAAAAGUAUGAUGGAAGAAAAUGAUGCAUCUUAAAAGUGAGCAUGUGGGUUAGUGAGUGCGUGGGUGAGCUGAUAAAUGAUUAGGUUAUAGAUGAGAGGGUUAAAGUAAGUGGGUUAGUGAGUGGGCAACUGCAAGAUGGUGAGAGAAUGAAUGUGUAAAUGUUUGAACUGUAUUGAAAUCAGUACCUACCUCCAUCGUUCAUUCUUCAUAUUAUGGAAAUAAGUUACAUGGACAAUUAAUAAGAUUAUUUGAGAAAAUGAUAUGACAGUCAUUGAUCAUUAAACACAGUUAUCAUUUAGCAAUACAA